UACGUAGGGUGCGAGCGUUGUCCGGAAUUACUGGGCGUAAAGAGCUCGUAGGUGGUUUGUCGCGUUGUUCGUGAAAACUCACAGCUUAACUGUGGGCGUGCGGGCGAUACGGGCAGACUGGAGUACUGCAGGGGAGAUUGGAAUUCCUGGUGUAGCGGUGGAAUGCGCAGAUAUCAGGAGGAACACCGGUGGCGAAGGCGGGUCUCUGGGCAGUAACUGACGCUGAGGAGCGAAAGCGUGGGGAGCGAACAGG
rnacentral:rRNA from 1 species